GAUGUAGAGAGUGUUACUGUCAUUAGCAUAUCCAGUUAUAUCUGAGUUUUGAAACAAUACUAAAAUACAUUCUACCAAGGUGGACGAGUUACUUCCCGCUCUACUGGGUAGAAGUAAACAAUCACAACAACUGCUGCCUCAGAUUCAAGCACAUGACUUGCUUGUCAUGGAUUUCUUCAUGUUGUAUGUCUAAUGGAUUAAGUCCCCAAAAUUGUGUUAUACUCAAUUAACGGCUCAUGGUUUAUAUAAUAAAGUACCUACAAAAAGGACCAUGGAAAGUUAUUGAUAACCAAUUUGAGAAUCAACACUGAACGGGGCUAAAAUCAACAUAUACCUACAGAGCCACGUACUGUCCACAACAAGGACAGAGAGGUUGAUGCCCUUCGAUGAAGAUCUGGCUUAAGGCAGAGUAGUUGGCUUCACCUCGGGGAUGGAGAGGGGCAUAUCUCAACAAAGAAUGCACCCAAGUGCACUAACUCAAAAUGGUUUGAAGGAUGAGAUCCCACAACUUAUGUGCCUGCUGAACCCAGAGUGCUGCCUGGCCACUAAAUCUUCUUUGUGCCUUCACUGGGUCUGGAUGUGCUGCACAGACUUC